AUGUCAAAUUUCAACAAAAAGGACAUUUGGAUAAUGAGCUGUAAGCUCUUCAGAGAUGAAGUCUCUUGCAGUGAGAGCAAGACAGAAACCCUGUUGGCUCGGGGGGAGACUCAAAAGGCAGCUCCUCCCAGAGUCAUGCAGUGCAGGAUUCCUUCCAGACCAAAGUCACAAGGGUUACAUAGUCUACAUAUAGAUGCAUUGUUCCAAUCAUCCCAUCUCACCAAGACAUCUCAAAACACCCAAGAUCUGAUACUUUCUGUGGAGGAACUGUUUUCCCAUACAGACUGUACAGGAGAUCAGAGAUACAUGACUAUGCAAUUUAAAGUACUGCAAGCAUCUUUCCAGUGCAUCACAGAAAUGAGAUUUCUGCUCAACUCCUUGGCAGGAUCCAACCAGCAUAUAGUAUAGAUGAAAUAGUACUGGCUCAGCCAAGGAUGUGGAGACUAAUUUCAAGGCAUUAGUAAUUCCAGAAAACAGGAACCUUUUCAUCAACUCACUUAAGGCAAGCACACUCAGCAUACUACAGUCAUACAAUGGCAUUUUAUCUAAGGGUGCCAAGAGAGAAAUUUGGGGAAUUGCAGCAUUUCAGAGAAAUCAGGAAUGUUUCUAAGAUAUUGCAAUCAGAAUGCACUGUUUUCUUAGAUGUUUUCAUUCCACAAAGAACCUGAAGCAGGUCCACUGCUGCUUGUGCAUGCAGAGCACCACAGCAGAGGCAAAAAGCAUUUCAAAGGUGCUGUCUUGUCAGAGGGCACAUCCCACAAAUGAUUUGUAAGAUAUAUCUACAUUGGCCUUUCAGUUCAGAUCAGGAAAGUGCUUUUGAGCUGGCUCUCCCGACCAGUUUCACUUGCUGCUCUCUGUGUCACAUUUGAGAGUGGUUCUGGGUCACACCAGCAAGGGCACUUGGGCUGUUAGUGGGGUCCACUGCACAGCACCCAGCACAAGAGCAGCAAAAGCCUUACACUCUGCACAUCCAGAUGUGUGAGCUCCUCUGCACCAGCUGUUUUGCUCUGCUCCACUCCUGCUACAUUGCAACACUUGCAUACAGGGAUAAACCCAGACAACUUUGGUCUGUCUGGGAUGGUAAUCAGUGAUUUCCUUCACAAAUUCUGAGACUAAAUUGCAGUGGUUAUUUUGGGCAACAAUUUGCUGCAUGGAUGUACUUUAUUUACCACAGAAUUUCUCCAGCAUGUUCCAUGUAUCUAAAACCAUAUGUACACAUAUGUAACCCGUAUCCACGGGUUAGAAAAACUGUGAUUUCCUAAAGAAAUGAGACACCAAAAACCUAUCAAAUUUUAUUGGAGACUGUGCAACUAACUGCUGAGGAGAAAAUCAUCAGUUUGUCAUGUGGUGGGUUCACUAAAAUGCCUUGUAUUGACAUCUUUUCUGUAAAAGAAAAAUAUAUGCUACAAAAAACACAACUAGCAAACCCAUUGCUUGCUUCCUGAUGAUUUGUUUGUCCUACAGAGCUUGCCCUUAACAGCUGUAAUUGAAUUAGACCUUUUUGUUACAAAACGUGAAGGCAAAUGCAAGCUUGGUUCCACGAGUAUCUCCUAUUAGUAUGCACGCUUUAAGAGGCACGGCUUUGCUAAACCAGUAUCUGUGACUACAGAGGACCCACUAGGCAUUUUCAGUUGUAUCUCCAUGUAAACAUGUGUCAUUUCAGAGUUGUACUUCACUCUAUUCAUAGAGAAAAUCUUCUAGGUAUAAAAUGGAUACUUUGAAUUUUCAAUUAAGAUUUUGAUGUAGAGAGUCUUAAAAGAUAGUGUACAAGAUUAUUGCCUGCAUUUUCUUCCUGAAGAAAAAUAUUACAAAAAUAAAGCUAAUUUUCAAAUUUGUUUUAGAGUUAAA
ensembl:lncRNA